GACGUACGCUGGCGGCGUGCUUAACACAUGCAAGUCGAACGCUGAAGCUCAGCUUUUGUUGGGUGGAUGAGUGGCGAACGGGUGAGUAACACGUGAGUAACCUGCCUCCUUCUUUGGGAUAACGCCCGGAAACGGGUGCUAAUACUGGAUAUUCACUGGUCUUCGCAUGGGGGUUGGUGGAAAGGGUUUUUCUGGUGGGGGAUGGGCUCGCGGCCUAUCAGCUUGUUGGUGGGGUGAUGGCCUACCAAGGCUUUGACGGGUAGCCGGCCUGAGAGGGUGACCGGUCACAUUGGGACUGAGAUACGGCCCAGACUCCUACGGGAGGCAGCAGUGGGGAAUAUUGCACAAUGGGCGCAAGCCUGAUGCAGCGACGCCGCGUGAGGGAUGGAGGCCUUCGGGUUGUGAACCUCUUUCGCUCAUGGUCAAGCCGCAACAAUGGUUGUGGUGAGGGUAGUGGGUAAAGAAGCGCCGGCUAACUACGUG
rnacentral:rRNA from 1 species